AGAGUUUGAUCCUGGCUCAGGAUGAACGCUGGCGGCGUGCCUAACACAUGCAAGUUGAGCGAUUUACUUCGGUAAAGAGCGGCGGACGGGUGAGUAACGCGUGGGUAACCUACCCUGUACACACGGAUAACAUACUGAAAGGUAUGCUAAUACGGGAUAAUAUAUUUGAGAGGCAUCUCUUGAAUAUCAAAGGUGAGCCAGUACAGGAUGGACCCGCGUCUGAUUAGUAGUUGGUAAGGUAACGGCUUACCAAGGCGACGAUCAGUAGCCGACCUGAGAGGGUGAUCGGCCACAUUGGAACUGAGACACGGUCCAAACUCCUACGGGAGGCAGCAGUGGGGAAUAUUGCACAAUGGGCGAAAGCCUGAUGCAGCAACGCCGCGUGAGUGAUGAAGGCCUUCGGGUCGUAAAACUCUGUCCUCAAGGAAGAUAAUGACGGUACUUGAGGAGGAAGCCCCGGCUAACUACGUGCCAGCAGCCGCGGUAAUACGUAGGGGGCUAGCGUUAUCCGGAUUUACUGGGCGUAAAGGGUGCGUAGGCGGUCUUUCAAGUCAGGAGUGAAAGGCUACGGCUCAACCGUAGUAAGCUCUUGAAACUGGGAGACUUGAGUGCAGGAGAGGAGAGUGGAAUUCCUAGUGUAGCGGUGAAAUGCGUAGAUAUUAGGAGGAACACCAGUUGCGAAGGCGGCUCUCUGGACUGUAACUGACGCUGAGGCACGAAAGCGUGGGGAGCAAACAGGAUUAGAUACCCUGGUAGUCC
rnacentral:rRNA from 1 species